rnacentral:tRNA from 1 species
CGAAUCCCUCUCUUUCCG